rnacentral:lncRNA from 1 species
AUGUUGCACACACUUAUUUUGUUCUCUUUGAGUUUGUAUUCUCUGGCUGCCGUUGCUGCAGCACAACUUUCAGCUCCUCUGUUCCUCAGUGAAUCUGUGAUAGUGCUGAUCUCAGCUGCUGCUGGAUCUCUGGUGUAUAUGGUUUUGAUUUGGAUGUUUUGUGUGUGCAGGGGACACAAAAAGGCAGCUCAGACCCAUGAAUAUGAGAUUCCUCAAUCACUCCACAAACAGAUUGGACAAAUGACGGAAUCUGAAAUGACAGAGGUAGUUUACACAUGUUUCACCACAGAGCAAUGAUCAGACUCUCUGUGAAUCUGUUCCGUCACAAAUGAUGGAUUGACAUCAAUAACUUAAUCUGUGCUUUAUACCAUAUUGUGAAUAUUAAAUUAAAUAAAAAUUAUACUUGUUUAAUCCUCAAACAUCCUUCAGGACAAAUUUGGGCCAAAAAUUUUUUUAGAUAGUUUCCUUAAUCUGAGCAGUACAAGACUUGGCUACUUUUCCUAAGUUUGUCACCUGAACACAUACAAAAAAAUGGACUUGAUUCAACAAAGUUAAGUGGUUAAAAAAAAAAUAAAUAAAAAAAAUAACAUUAUGGUUUAAAAUAGGCGACCCACUAAUGAAUGGGAAAGUACUAAAAUUACAGAGCAUUUUUAUUUUGUAGCAUACACAACUUUCUACAAUGUGACAAAAACUACUCUCACACACACUCAUAUACAAAGCAUUGAAUGAUAUUAUAACACAGCGGGGGAUUUAUUUCUGAUUUUGUCAAAUAAAAUGAGUCAUAUAUAAGACCAAAAUCAAAGUAUUGAAUCAGCCAUUGACUGAGCUUAUUUUUGUGCCAAUCAGCCACUGUGCACACACACACACACAUACUUAAAAGACAGAUCAGUCCUUCUGCAAGAUUUGUGGAUGAUUAAAAAAAAAAUUCAGUAAAAUGCUACCUUGUUAGGUUUAUUGUUUAUUAUAAUCUGUUUGGCAACAUUCUGUACCAUUUUACUUUUUGAGUUAUUAAAAUAAGAUGUUUUUUGUUAGAAAUAAAUUAUUAAUUUUGUUAAUAAUCAGUUAAUUUAAAUGUUAAUUAAAACAUGAGAAACUCCUAUCAACAUGAAAUGUGCUUUUCUGUUUUAAUGAACUGAAGUAAUCUUGGCAUCAUGCAAAGUCUCUCGAAAUCGAAAAGUAAAAUCCUUUAACCCAUAAACAUAUAUGCACAAACCAUCAACACAUUCAUUUGCAAAACAUGUUUUUAUUUCCACAAUGUGAACUGGGGAAAAAAUAAAAAAUUAAAUUAAAAUUUAAAAACCUUUUUUUUUUUUUUUUUUUUUUGAAAAGAGGACUGUUAUCUUCUGAAUCUGAAUGAGAUGUCUUAAGUCUGUUUUUAUUAUUGUUAUUAUUAUUAUUAUUAUUAUUAUUUUAUUAUUUAUUUAUUUAUUUAUUUAUUUGGUUCAUGUUUAAAAGCACUCCAUUGUUGCUUUUGAAGUUGUUAUUAAUUGUCCACAUAUAUUUUUAAAAAUAACAAAAAUUGUUGCUAGGUGUUUUUUUUAUAAAUAAAUAAAAUCCUAGGGUAGUCUGAAAAGGCAACAAAAUUGCUAAUUUGGCAACAUUGCCUGAGCGUGGCCUAAUUGACUCAUCAGAUCAUAAUUUAAAUCACAGGCACAUUAAAACUUAACCUUAUUUGAACAGUUUAGCCUUGCCCCACUAAGCCCCGCCCCUUAUCGUCACCACUGCUGCUUAGGAUUGGCAGACCGAGCCCCGAGACUCCGCCCAGAAACAAAGUUCAGAUACACUGAAGAGAGUGAAUUAGAGGCUAAGAGUGAAUUGCCAUAAAAUUACCGAAAAGACUUUACCGGUAAAUGCAAAAAUGCACUAUUCACAAUUUUACUGAUAAAGCACCAUUCACACAUCCAUUUCAAAAUACUGGUAAAUUUGGUGACAUCAUUAAACAGAAAUGGCCUCUUAAAAGCUGUGCCUCCCGAUGUUGUUAUUAAACAUGGAGGGGAAAACUCGGUCAGUGUUUUUGUUGAUGUUUUUAUUUUUUGUGUCAAACGUUCACACUCAUGCAGUGCUUUUUGCCCAGAAACUUGUACACAGGGCCGUCGCAAGGUGGGUGAGAGGCCCUCUACAAUUUUGUGUGUGUGGGUCAUAGGCGGAGUUUAGGGCAGGGGGUUGUCUGGGGUUUUGGGGGCACUUACUCUCCAGACGAGAGCAAAUCAUGAUUUUGUCUGAGCUAUGAAUAAAAUAUAAAAAUGAAAUAGUUUAAAUCUUCUCAUUUUAUUUGUAUUAUCUUGUUAUUUUAGUGGAUAUAAUAAGUAGCCUACAUUUUGGGCAAAAUUAAUUUCUAUGACAUUUAAGCCCCAUCCUUGUGAGCCGCAAUUUGUCAUCAUGAUUCUUAACUUGUCAACAGGCUACAUGAGAGGACUCUUUUUUCAUUAUUUUCCUGCUUUAGCAAGUUAACUGAAUAAUGGAAACUCGUUGUACAUUUUAAUAAACCAGAGAAUAAAAAUGUGUUGGACUGAGUCACUGAUUUCCACAUAAAGCAUAUUUUUCCCCCUUAUCACAAAACAGCUUAUAGCCUACUACUGUUUCAGCUAUUAAAAUGGUUCAGUUUUGUAUGUACUGUCAAAGUGAUUAUAUUUUUCGUUUUUUUUUUUUUUUUUUUUUAUUUUUAAUAAUUAAGUUAAUUUUAGAAAAACGUUUCGGAGUCUAUUUUUUAUUUGUUAAAUUAUUAAGUUUUUUGUUUUUUAAAGUAACGACCAAGCGGCCAGUGACAGACAGUGAGUUGAUCAUAG